rnacentral:sRNA from 1 species
GUUGGGUGUGGUGGUGCACACCUAUAAACCCAUCAGCUCAGGAAGCUGAGACAGGAGGAUGGUGAGUUUAAAGCCAGCCUCAGCAACUUAGUGAGACCCUGUCUCUA